CCACACACACACACGCGCGGACGGAAAUGAAAGGAAUGUGAAUUCUAGGAUAUAAUCUACGCACCAUUCUGCUCGUUUUCCGUGCAUUUCUUAUCGGGCAUUAUUCACAAAGCAAAUCCCGUGAUGAAGGUUCUGCGACAGCUGUUUUGCGCCAGGUUAGGUGAAAAGUGCACUGUUUCAGCGACAAUGGGAGAUUGGGAUUAGCAGCCGCAGAGCGCCGCAUCUGGCGAAAUUGAGCGAGCGAAUGAAACUGAGCGCCGUACAACAUGGCGUAUGCGUCUAUUACACAUACGCACCGGGUGCCCACACACACUCACACCCAUAUUUCAGGAGAGAGCACAAGAGAGCGCCAAGGAUGGGAUGAUGCGCAUUUCAGUUGAUGCCACAAGGAAAAGCUUUUGGGACGCGCUUUUCCUCUCUUUUUCGGAAUCAGCUGUUUUCGAUAGGCAAUUUCCAUAGCCUUUUUAAUACGUCAUAUUGCAAUUUUAGAUAUGUAAAACGUCACACAGAGCGAAAAUUUCAAUGAUAGGUAUUGAUUUUUUUAUAAAAUAAUCACAGACCUCAUUUUCUAUUUCUAAAGUAAGACAAAAUUGGGGUUUUGUGUCAUUACAUUUGCACAACUCAAUAAUUUCUUAAGAACUCAGGUAUACAAUAAAUUGUUUCAAAUAUAUUUUAAUGGUUAAUAAAUUUCCAAGGCCCCAUAAAACUGUCAAUAUAUUUUCCUAUUCAUAAUAACAUAAAAAAAAACCUAAAAUAUCUGAGACAAUAAUAAACAUUUAAUGCUGAGUUUCCCACUUUUAAAUACCUAUAUGUAUGCGACUCUUUUUGUGCACAUACUUAUAAAUUUUUUUGUCUGUGUAUCUGUGCUGUAUGCCGCUUUCAAUUGGCUCUGGAUAAUUGUUGCUCUGCAAAUAUCUCUGCUAUGUACAUUGUACAUAAUAGCAGAAAUGUUUUGUUUUCUAGAUCUCGAGUCCCGAGGUACAGUUCUUGCUUUUUUAUUUUACGGGGGCUCGACUUUGCUUUUGUUGCCCCCGAGAUGUUUUCUUGUUGUUUGUGCAACUGUACCUGGGAUGCUGAACAAACGAACGCGGCAGAAAAACACUGCGAUUUGUUAAAUUGUUAUUUUCGUGCCCAUGGCUAAAUAUAAAUGAACUAAUGCCAAAUGCUGACGUACUCUUCUCCGUGUUUUAUCCCUAAAAACUGACGCAAAUGGCAUUGCAAGUACAUGAUUUAUGGAGCCGGGGAUCGCGGGUUGAUGGGGCAAAAACCACGUGCCGAAUGCGACGCACGUUUUGCGUCGAGAGAAAAACAAAGGCACACACACUUCAAAAUAGAAUAGUGCAACAUACUGGACUUACUUAAAACAUGUGAGGUAGCAAAGUGUCGCAAUUACUUUAAAACUACAAACUAUUAAUCACUGAACGAUGCGGUUUGGACACGUUUGUAGAAA